UCCCUGACAGUCUAGCGGUUAGGACUCUGCACUUUUGCUGCUGGGGCCUAGGUUCAAUCCAUGGUUGGAGAA
rnacentral:tRNA from 1 species